UACGUAGGGUGCAAGCGUUGUCCGGAAUUAUUGGGCGUAAAGGGCGCGCAGGUGGUGCGGUAAGACUGCCGUGAAAUCUCCCGGCUCAACUGGGAGGGGGCGGUGGAGACUGCCGGACUAGAGGCACUCAGAGGCCGGUGGAAUUCCCGGUGUAGUGGUGAAAUGCGUAGAGAUCGGGAGGAACACCAGUGGCGAAGGCGGCCGGCUGGGGGUGACCUGACGCUGAGGCGCGAAAGCGUGGGGAGCGAACCGG
rnacentral:rRNA from 1 species